rnacentral:rRNA from 1 species
UACGAAGGGGGCUAGCGUUGCUCGGAAUUACUGGGCGUAAAGGGCGCGUAGGCGGCACUGUUAGUCAGGCGUGAAAGUCCUGGGCUCAACCUGGGAACUGCGCUUGAUACGGCAGAGCUAGAGGAUGGAAGAGGCUCGCGGAAUUCCCAGUGUAGAGGUGAAAUUCGUAGAUAUCAGGAAGAACACCCGUGGCGAAGGCGGCUCUCUGGGACGGUACUGACGCUGAGACGCGAAAGCGUGGGGAGCGAACAGG